GGGGGUGUAGCUCAGUGGUAGAACAGGUGCUUAGCAUGUAUGAGGGCCUGGGUUCAACCCACCACCCCCA
rnacentral:tRNA from 1 species